AGCAGCCGCGGUAAUUCCAGCUCCAAUAGCGUACAUUAAAGUUGUUGCAGUUAAAAAGCUCGUAGUUGAAUUUCGGGAUCAGAGUGUCGGUCGUGCCUUGGUACGAACUGGUAUUAUUGGUUCCUACCUUCUGAAGAACCGCGAUGUCAUUAAUUUGGUGUCGUGGGGAAUCAGGACUGUUACUUUGAAAAAAUUAGAGUGUUUAAAGCAGGCUUACGCUUGAAUACAUUAGCAUGGAAUAAUGAAAUAGGACGUUUGAUUCUAUUUUGUUGGUUUCUAGGAUUGACGUAAUGAUUAAUAGGGAUAGUUGGGGGCAUUAGUAUUCAAUUGUCAGAGGUGAAAUUCUUGGAUUUAUUGAAGACUAACUACUGCGAAAGCAUUUGCCAAGGAUGUUUUCAUUAAUCAAGAACGAAAGUUAGGGGAUCGAAGACGAUCAGAUACCGUCGUAGUCUUAACCAUAAACUAUGCCGACUAGGGAUCGGAUGAUGUUAAUUUUUAAUGACUCAUUCGGCGCCUUACG
rnacentral:rRNA from 1 species